rnacentral:rRNA from 1 species
UGCAUGUCUAAGUAUAAGCAAUUAUACCGCGAAACUGCGAAUGGCUCAUUAUAUAAGUUAUCGUUUAUUUGAUAAUACUUUACUACUUGGAUAACCGUGGUAAUUCUAGAGCUAAUACAUGCUAAAAACCCCGACUUCAGGAAGGGGUGUAUUUAUUAGAUAAAAAACCAACGCCCUUCGGGGCUCCUUGGUGAAUCAUAAUAACUUAACGAAUCGCAUGGCCUUGCGCCGGCGAUGGUUCAUUCAAAUUUCUGCCCUAUCAACUUUCGAUGGUAGGAUAGUGGCCUACCAUGGUGGCAACGGGUAACGGGGAAUUAGGGUUCGAUUCCGGAGAGGGAGCCUGAGAAACGGCUACCACAUCCAAGGUAGGCAGCAGGCGCGCAAAUUACCCACUCCUGACUCGGGGAGGUAGUGACGAAAAAUAACAAUACGGGACUCAUUCGAGGCCCCGUAAUUGGAAUGAGUACACUUUAAAUCCUUUAACGAGGAUCCAUUGGAGGGCAAGUCUGGUGCCAGCAGC